rnacentral:rRNA from 1 species
GAGUUUGAUCUUGGCUCAGAUUGAACGCUGGCGGCAGGCCUAACACAUGCAAGUCGAGCGGAUGACGGGAGCUUGCUCCUUGAUUCAGCGGCGGACGGGUGAGUAAUGCCUAGGAAUCUGCCUGGUAGUGGGGGACAACGUUUCGAAAGGAACGCUAAUACCGCAUACGUCCUACGGGAGAAAGCAGGGGACCUUCGGGCCUUGCGCUAUCAGAUGAGCCUAGGUCGGAUUAGCCUAGUUGGUGGGGUAAUGGACUCACCAAGGCGACGAUCCGUAACUGGUCUGAGAGGAUGAUCAGUCACACUGGAACUGAGACACGGUCCAGACUCCUACGGGAGGCAGCAGUGGGGAAUAUUGGACAAUGGGCGAAAGCCUGAUCCAGCCAUGCCGCGUGUGUGAAGAAGGUCUUCGGAUUGUAAAGCACUUUAAGUUGGGAGGAAGGGCAGUAAGUUAAUACCUUGCUGUUUUGACGUUUACCGACAGAAUAAGCACCGGCUAACUCUGUGCCAGCCGCCGACGG